rnacentral:rRNA from 1 species
AGAGUUUGAUCAUGGCUCAGGACGAACGCUGGCGGCGUGCCUAACACAUGCAAGUCGAACGCUGUCCAUUCGGUGGCAACACCGAUGAAGACGGAGUGGCGAACGGGUGAGUAACACGUGAGCAACCUGCCCCGAAGACCGGGACAACACCGGGAAACCGGUGCUAAUACCGGAUAUCCCCACCGGACCGCAUGGUCGGG